rnacentral:tRNA from 1 species
GGAGAUAUGUCUGAGUGGUCUAAAGAGUAUGUUUGGAAUACAUAUAAAAUAAUAAAAAUAUUUUCAUGGGUUCGAAUCCCAUUAUCUCUU